CCUACGGGUGGCAGCAGUGGGGAAUAUUGGGCAAUGGAGGCAACUCUGACCCAGCAACGCCGCGUGAAUGCUGAAGGUCUUCGGAGUGUAAAGUUCUGUGAUGGGGGAUGAACACAAUGACGGUACCCCAAUAGCAAGCCACGGCUAAGUACGUGCCAGCAGCCGCGGUAAUACGUAGGUGGCAAGCGUUAUCCGGAAUGACUGGGUGUAAAGGGUGCGUAGGUGGUUUAGUAAGUUGGCGGUGUAAUUCCGGGGCUCAACCUCGGCGCUACGGGCAAAACUGUUAGAAUAGAGUGCAGGGGGGGUAAGUGGAAUUCGUAGGGUAGCGGGGAAAUGCAUAGAUAUAACGCAGAACUCCGAUUGCGAAGGCAGCAUACCGGCGCCCAACUGACGCUGAAGCACGAAAGCGUGGGUAUCGAACAGGAUUAGAUACCCCGGUAGUC
rnacentral:rRNA from 1 species